rnacentral:lncRNA from 1 species
UUUUGCAAGGAGGCGCCCACCAUAGAUAAAGCUCUUUCUAUCGUAGAAGAGUUUGGUACUGUCUGCGGUGCGCAGAUGAAUAGCUCCAAGAGCUCAGGGCUCUGGUUUGG